rnacentral:rRNA from 1 species
GAUGAACGCUGGCGGCGUGCCUAAUACAUGCAAGUCGAGCGAACAGACGAGGAGCUUGCUCCUCUGACGUUAGCGGCGGACGGGUGAGUAACACGUGGAUAACUUACCUAUAAGACUGGGAUAACUUCGGGAAGCCGGAGCUAAUACCGGAUAAUAUAUUGAACCGCAUGGUUCAAUAGUGAAAGACGGUUUUGCUGUCACUUAUAGAUGGAUCCGCGCCGCAUUAGCUAGUUGGUAAGGUAACGGCUUACCAAGGCAACGAUGCGUAGCCGACCUGAGAGGGUGAUCGGCCACACUGGAACUGAGACACGGUCCAGACUCCUACGGGAGGCAGCAGUAGGGAAUCUUCCGCAAUGGGCGAAAGCCUGACGGAGCAACGCCGCGUGAGUGAUGAAGGUCUUCGGAUCGUAAAACUCUGUUAUUAGGGAAGAACAAAUGUGUAAGUAACUAUGCACGUCUUGACGGUACCUAAUCAGAAAGCCACGGCUAACUACGUG